GACCCCAGUGUAACAAAUCUAUGGAAAGAGAGAAAAUCUCAGCUUAAGGGUCAACAUGUCUUUAUUCCAAGAAAGAGUGUACAUAUGCCAGAAUCAUAGGGACCGCAGACUGGCCCUGGUGAUUCCGUUAAGAAAAAAGAGGAAAAAUCAGUGCUUGUGCUCAUUGGUCAUUGGACAAAGGGUGAAUGCCAGAAUUUUUUCAAGAACAGUCUGAAUCUGACAUGGAAAAAAUGAAGAAAAACAGCCUUCCUGUUUAUAAAUCUACAUUCUGACAAAGGGUAAGAAAGAAAUUCAGGAGUUCUUAAAUUGCCCUUGGAGUUCUUGGAUUGCAUCAAACUGCUAAAAGACCUCAACAAAAACAGCGUCUUGAAAAUAAAAAUGAAAAUAUUCAGUGAAAAAAAAAAUGAUGAAAGAGCCACUAAAAAUCUUCAAGCCUUUGAGCUGAAAUCUGGAAGUCAA